rnacentral:lncRNA from 1 species
GAAGAACGACAUAACAUAGAGAAGGAAAAAAGGCUGUCAUGGCAAUAUUCAAGAAGAACACAAGUGCCCAGUGUUUGUUUGGCUCUUGUGGUCAUGGCGGCUGUCAUUUCGUCUUGUGAUGCGUUUGGCCCAGGUACAUGCAUCUCUGACCUAACUAUAAGUAACUGUGGUUUUGCCAUGUGAUGCUAAUUUUCUAUAUAGUUCACAAUAUUGAGUUGUAUGGAUCUUAUGGCAUCUGGUCCAUGUUGAAGCAUAACUUGACAUAUUGUCUGGGUAUUCUUCUAAACAAUGUUCUUUUUAUGAAUAUGCAGAAGGAGGAUGUUUCAUGCCUUUCUUGCAAUGCGAUCUAGACAUGUGCAGGCGUGACUGCAACGGUUUAUUUGCCUAUUGCACACCGGUAGGAGAAUUUCACCACCGUUGUUGUUGCGCUCCCAAGAAACUCAGUGCAUCUGUUGAUAAGAAUAGUCGUCCUUGAUAUAUGCAUUCCUAAAUUGUAGUUUAUAUGUCACUGCUUUUUCUCGGAUCGAAUGCUACCCGAUUAAAUAAAAUUUAUCGCCAUUGAAAAAAAUACUGCUCCCAAGAUAUUUACGUAUCGUGUGAAACUGUAAUGCUUCGUUUGUAUGUUCAUAUUCAGACUUCGACAUUGAUAUUGGGGCCAAUAUCAAUUUAAUUUGGACAUUGAUAUGGACAUUUAAGAUAAAUUCUGCUCUUUGGAUGUUGAUAUAUUUGAC